UAUCUAUCUAUGUUUAUCUAACUAUAUAUUUAGCAAUCUAUCUAUAUUUAUCUAUCUAGCUCUCUCUAUACAUAUCUUAACAGGAAGAAAUCGUUUAGUAUCGACGGCAUUUAGAACUGCUACUCGUUGUUAGACAUGGGAAUGCAUCGUUGAUGAUAAUGGAAAUGCCAGUGCCUCGAAGAUAAUGUCACGAAGAUGGACAAAGAGAAGAAUAUGAACGGAAUGAGCAUUCUUCCUAGAAUGGAAUAAAAAGACAACAACUGGAGUAUCCGGUUCGUUUAUUAAUGGAAAAGAGGUUUCUUAAAAUGGCAGUAAUUUAAUUUUUCUGCUUCAUUCUCCGAUUUCCUGAUGUCAACGUCUAUACUACGAUGCGUACAUCUUCUUCUAUCUCAGAUUAAUUCCUUGGCCAUCUUGGAUAUGUAAAGGAACUUAUUCAAGAUAACUGCUUAUUGGACCAGCCGAUGUACUAAAGUUCCGAAUUUUUUGUUCUAAACUUUAUAAGAAUUCUGACAGGAACAAGAGGAUUGUAUCUGAUCUUGUGAUGAAAAGCAUAUGCUGAUAUACAAAUCGUUCAACAGCAAACAGUUUGUCAUGCAUAUACUCGGUAAGAGGAUGCUACCGACCAAGCCUGCCGGAAGAACAGUUAAACCAACGACUUAUAGCUGAAAGGAGAGAGGAGAAACUCUGGCAACGAGAAGAAGAAGCGUGCUUGAUGCGAGAAGGACGGCAUGCUCGUGUGAAAAAAACAGUUUAUCUGAAAGGAGAGGGGAAAAUAUCUGGCAACGAGAAGAAGAAACGUGCUUGAUGUGAGAAGGACGGCAUGCUCGUGAGAAAAAAUUUGAAAUUAGUUUGGCUGUAUUCCGAGAGUAGAGUUGGUCUUGUUUUUUUUGUUAAGAACGGAGAGAUGCAUUGUAUUACUUGGGCGUUUGAUGUAAAUGUGAAUAAAAGCAAUACUUUGUGAAAA